GACGUAGGUGGCGAACGUUAUCCGGAAUUAUUGGGCGUAAAGGGUGCGUAGAUGGCCUGACAAGUUAACAGUGGUAAAUCGAGGCUCAACCUCGUGGAAACUGACAAUACUGUCUGGCUUGAGUACAGAAGAGGUUAACGGAAUUCCAUGUGGAGCGGUAAAAUGCAUAGAUAUAUGGAAGAACACCAAUAACGGCGAAGGCAGUUAACUAUUCUGUUACUGACAUUGAGGCACGAAAGCGUGGGGAGCAAAACGG
rnacentral:rRNA from 1 species